GUUCUAUGGAAUACAAUUGUGCCUGAAUAUAAAAACAAACAUGCAAGACAAAUAGCGCUUGAAAAAAUAUGCAAUGAAAUGGCCAUAGAGAAUUUUGGUGUAAACGAAGCAAAGGCAAAAAUUAAUAAUAUGCGUUCUGCUUAUUGCCAAGAGGUAAAAAAAUUGAUUGCAUCAAAACAUUCAGAAACCGGAACCGAUUCUAUUUAUAAGCCUACAGUACCUUGGUUUAAUUUGAUGGAUUCUUUUCCUAAAUCACAUGUAAUCUAACGGCCAUCACAAAUAAAUCUGAAAAACAAUUGAGUGCAGUUUAUAACAACAGAAUUACAUCAGAAUUACAUAGCAAUACAGAAUUGUAUGCAGAAAAGUACGCAACGCAAGUGUAUGAUUAAGAAUGGGUGUGUUUUAUUUAUUGUGGAGGUUAUUGCAUACCUCCGUCGUGGUCGAAAAACCACAUAAAUCCAAAAUCGGUCCACCUCAAUGCCAUAAAUGUCAGGCUUGCGGUCACAUGAAAACAUAUUGUUCACACUAACCUCGCUGCGUCAAAUGUGGAGAAGAAUAUCUCUCCAACAAGUGUUCCAAAGAUAACAGUCCACCGGCUAAAUGCGCACUUUGCCCAGGUGCUCAUACCUCUUCGUAUAAAGGAUGCCCAGUCUACAAAAAAAAACGCCGCUUCUUUCCUAAAGCAACAAAAAGAGAGAAGACUUUCAACCUCCUUUUCUAGGCCUACUAAACCCAUGCAGUCUGAGAACCCCUGCAGUUCUAACAAAACUCGUACCUACGCCGAUACCACAA